rnacentral:rRNA from 1 species
AGUGAACGCUGGCGGUAGGCCUAACACAUGCAAGUCGAACGGCAGCACAGUAAGAGCUUGCUCUUACGGGUGGCGAGUGGCGGACGGGUGAGGAAUACAUCGGAUUCUACUUUUUCGUGGGGGAUAACGUAGGGAAACUUACGCUAAUACCGCAUACGUCCUACGGGUGAAAGCAGGGGAUCUUCGGACCUUGCGCGAUUGAAUGAGCCGAUGUCGGAUUAGCUAGUUGGCGGGGUAAAGGCCCACCAAGGCGACGAUCCGUAGCUGGUCUGAGAGGAUGAUCAGCCACACUGGAACUGAGACACGGUCCAGACUCCUACGGGAGGCAGCAGUGGGGAAUAUUGGACAAUGGGCGCAAGCCUGAUCCAGCCAUACCGCGUGGGUGAAGAAGGCCUUCGGGUUGUAAAGCCCUUUUGUUGGGAAAGAAAAGCAGCAGGUUAAUACCCCGCUGUUCUGACGGUACCCAAAGAAUAAGCACCGGCUAACUUCGUG